rnacentral:rRNA from 1 species
CCUACGGGAGGCAGCAGUGGGGAAUAUUGCACAAUGGAGGGAACUCUGAUGCAGCGACGCCGCGUGAGUGAAGAAGUAAUUCGUUAUGUAAAGCUCUAUCAGCAGGGAAGAAAGUGACGGUACCUGAAAAAGAAGCUCCGGCUAAAUACGUGCCAGCAGCCGCGGUAAUACGUAUGGAGCAAGCGUUAUCCGGAUUUACUGGGUGUAAAGGGAGAGUAGGUGGCAGAGCAAGUCCGAAGUGAAAACCCAAAGCUCAACUAUGGGAAUGCUUUAGAAACUGCUCAGCUAGAGUGCAGGAGAGGCAAGUGGAACUACAUGUGUAGCGGUAAAAUGCGUAAAUAUAUGUAAGAACACCAGUGGCGAAGGCGGCUUGCUGGGUCGAUACUGACAUUGAGGCACGAAAGCGUGGGGAGCAAACAGGAUUAGAUACCCCUGUAGUC